ensembl:lncRNA
AUGGCAAUACAUUUCACCAGUGCUUUUUCUCCAGAUAUAGGAAUAAUGGCCGCACUCAAAGACACGUCUCCAGUUGCGAUCUUGGGGAGGAAACAUCCUCUCCUUUCUCAGGAGAUUGAGAAAUAUUCCAAGAAAUGGAGUAAGCGGACGGGUAAAGCCCAGUCACCCUGGCCAUCCGAUGGAACAUUCGAUCAUGAGCAAUGUGUGGAGAUGGAAGUGUUAAUAAAAAAUUACAAAAUAAAAGAUAAAUCUGCCAAGCGACUGUGUAAACGUGAGCGUGAGGUUGCAAUGCUAAAGUUAUUCACAGAUCAAGCCCAACUCCUGAGGGAGAAAACAGCUGAAUAUGUGAAAAAACAGAUUGAGCGGAGAAAAGAGGAGAGAAAAAAGGGAGAAUCCUUAAAAGCAGAACCCCCAUCUUAUGCUGCACAGAUGCCGGUGCGGGAGAUCAGACUAUUAGGAGACUAUUCACUUAGGUCCGGUAAAUCAGGUAAAAGCAUCUAUCCCAUUGAUGAGUUAAAGAAGGUCAGGGAAAGAGGGAGAGAGCUAGAUGACAUAGAAGACUUACCUGCCACGUAUGCUAAAGCAGUUCAGCUUGCAGGGAAAGACACUCGUCGUAUUAGUGGCUUACAUGAUAAAAUAAUGCAUGACAUAAAACAAUCUGAGUGUGCAGAGGACGGCAGCGAGGGCGAGGAGCAAGGCGAAGAAGAAGGAGCAACUGGGGAGAGUGAAAGAGUCCGAAGAUCCCUGGCAGAGGUACAGUACUCUAAAUUGCCAGAUCCAAGUAUGGUCUCUACCCCUCGCUAUCUGCAGGCUGGUGCUAAGCCCAAGCAGGCCAGGAUAAAGGAAAAGAUGCCCCGUUCUGAGUCCUUUGCCCCUGGCAGUGAAGUAGUAGAGGAGCACGGACAGAUGGAAGGCGUCAUCACGCUCAGCUCCAAGGGACAUCCAGUGUCAGCAGAAGUAGUAGAGGAGGCGUCCGAAUACCCCCUGCUGGCCAAAGGAGCAAAUCUGCAGUAUGUGCCCUGGCCAACCAUGGACCUGGAAGGGCUGGUGCAGAGACUGCCAUGUCUGCAUGAUGGCGCCGGGAAAUGGGUAGCAGCCUUCGAAGAAGAAACUAUAGCCACCAUCCUGGCAGUGGGUGACCUCAAGGCCCUCCUUGGGAAGGUGCUGGGGAAGCAGGAGAUGGAGGAGACGCUGAGAUCGGCGCAGAUGAAUGCAUAUGCAGGUACACAAGCACACGAUGGAGAGUUGUUCAACAGGCAUCGCAAUGCGCUGUGGACAGCUCUGAGACUUCGCUAUCCAACCAGAAUUCAGCCUGAUAGCAUUGUAGCUGUGCCAAUAAAAGAUGAUGAGAGCCCACAAGCCUAUGUUCACCUCACUCGAAAAGAAUGGAUCAGACAAACAGGUGGAAGACCUGAUGAGGACAUUUUCCAUAGGCAGGCUCUCAGAAAAAGAAUUGUUGAUGGUUUGCCCUUGCCUGCACAAAGUAAGCUGGGAGAUGCAGUGGGGCUUUACACCAUGCCCUUUGAGCAAUUCACUGACCAUGUUAUUGAUGCUGUGACCAAAAUUCGUUCUGCUGCGCUCCGUCAGAAGCAGCAGGAUGAAGAGACGGUGAGAAAACUGACCCAGCAGCAGCUAACUGAAGGGAGGAAAAAGAUCCAAGCAGUGGUUCAGCCUGUGACUGCAGCUGGACAUGCACCUCCCCCCACCAUCACAGCCCCACCUGCUGUCCAGCCACAAGUUAUCUACGUCCAGUCAGGAGGCUGGAGAGGCGGCCCACCAAGGAUGAGAGGGGGAGCCACGGUUGGGAGAGCACGGGUGAUGUGGGGUAAUCAAGAAAGUGAGGUAAGGUGCUUCCGCUGUGGCAGAGUUGGACACAUGAGACGUCAGUGUUACGGGUCGGUGCGCCAGAUCCCACAAGGAGCCCCACGGCAGAUGGGACCCACCAGUCCAUGGCAGGGUCCUCCUGCUGGAUACUAG